UUUCUAGCCUCCGCCUCCAGGCGGGUGAGGAGGUGACACCUGAGAAUUCCUCCCUCUCACCCCUGACCCUGCCGGAAAGCGAAACUGAGAUGCGGGCAUUGGGCCCUGGGAAGCGUGGGGAAGGGGAAAGGAGAAAGCCAGGUUAACUACGUCAGGAUUAAUGUGUUCCACUUCUGCUGCCUGAGAAAAUGGAGAAAUUAAGUCCUUUCCAUGGAUCAUUCCUUCUGUAAACAGAGAUCACAAAGCAAGAGCUUCAGCAUCCUCGUGAAAAAGACAUUUUGUUCUGGGUGUCAUCAUCUCCUUCCACUACAGCUUGCAAUUGGAACAAGCUUCACAUCCUGGGGGUGCUGCCUAUCUCUGUCUUGAUUUCUGCCUGUCUAUUCCUCCCAUUGACAGGAAUGUCGUUUGUAUCCUCCACGCAGCAGUUUGCAGAAAUCCAGCAAGGUUUAUGGUUUAUGUUGCCCAGCAUGUAUAAACACAACGCUCUCAAAUGCUUUUUAAAAAUCUAUGAAUUUGUUAGACGUCUUCACAUCCUGGUCCUCCUACCCCAAUUCUCAAACACAAAGUACUCUGUUGCCCUAUUAUAGUCCUGCGAUAGUUCUGGCUAGGAUUAGGUUGACGGUCUAAGCCCCAAGAAAGGCCUGGCAUUUUCAUAGCAGGCUUUCCCCAAUGCUUUGAGUCUUCCUCUCUCACUCCCUUUUUCUUUUUCCCUCGGAGGAGGGGGUGUUGGGGGUGGGAGGUGAUUAGUAAAUGUUUCAGGUAAUC
rnacentral:lncRNA from 1 species